CACACAAGGCCUCAUUCUAAUCCUGCAGCUUGUCUGUUUAGUGUCUUUGGAGAGGGAAAAGGAGCAGAAAAGUAGCUUGUCUUUUAUUUUUAUUUGCCUUCUUUUUUUCCCUUCCUCCAGAUAUCCCCCUGGGGCACCGGCCUAGAACAGAGCAACAAAUAUUUACUAAUUCCAUUAACAGAAGAGAGUUGGAAUUUUUUUUUUCCCAAGCGAAUAUCCGAGGCCCCAAGUUCAUGGUGAGCCCUCUCCCCCGCGUGGCCCCCUGUCCCCCCUCCUCCUUACACGCCCAGGACUUAUAUAUAGUUCACUCAGUGCCAUUUCCCCAAUUUUUUCUGAAGUUCAAGACAAGUUGAAGGGUCAAAAAGGCAAAGGGUGUUUUAGAAGUUUAGCAGACAGCUUUUGGUACAAGGAAAAGAGAGGGAGAGUCAGAGAGAGGGAAACAGGGUGAAGAGGCAGGAAUCUGGCUCGCAUUAAGCUGGGAAGUUCCAACCAUUGAUUCGCUCUGGAAUUAUGGCUUUUAAAAAACUGCAAAACAUGGUUUAUUCAUGAGGCUUCUUUUUUUUUUUUCUUAAGUAGUGACCCAAAGUUACACUUUGGUUCCCCAAGACGAAGACUCGUCCUUCCUCUCUCUAUGGAUCUUUCAGCACGAAAACAGGCUGGUACAGUACCCUUAUAAGAAGAGAAAGGGACCAGAACUCUCCCUCCAUCAUGUGAAGAUACAGCAAGAAGUCAACUAUUCACGAGUCCCUUCCCUGAACCUAACCACGCUGGCACCAUGAUUUUGGAAAUCCUGAUUCCGAUGGAGUCUCACUCUGCUGCCCAGAUUGGAGUGCAG